rnacentral:misc_RNA from 1 species
AAAGUCGUAACAAGGUUUCCGUAGGUGAACCUGCGGAAGGAUCAUUACCUUUCAUGUCUUUAAUUAGGCAGUCGGGGGGCUUCGUACGCGUUACAAUCUAGGUUGCAUCGCCUGCGUGCCCCUGUCUGAACCCGUGUCUUUGCGUACUACUUGUUUCCUUGGUGGGCUUGCCUGCCAAAAGGACCACAUUAAACCCUUGCAAUUGCAAUCAGCGUCUGAAAAUAAUAAUAAUUACAACUUUCAACAACGGAUCUCUUGGCUCUG